CCGGAAGGCUCAGUAACACGUAGUUAAUCUGCCCUCAAGUCAGGGAUAAUCCCGGGAAACUGGGUCUAAUACCUGAUAUGGAAAGGAUACUGGAAUGUUCCUUUCUCGAAAGUUCCGGCGCUUGAGGAUGAGACUGCGGCGGAUUAGGUAGUUGCGGGUGUAAAGUACCUGCAAGCCUAUAAUCCGUACGGGCGUUGAGAGACGUAGCCCGGAGAUGUGUUCUGAGACAAAAACACAGGCCCUACGGGGCGCAGCAGUUACGAAACCUUUACAAUGCGCGAAAGCGUGAUAGGGGGACUCUGAGUGCCAUAGCACUGCUAUGGCUUUUCUGAAGUCAAAAUAGCUUCAGGAAUAAGGGGUGGGCAAGACGGGUGCCAGCCGCCACGGUAAUACCCGCGCCCCAAGUGGUGGUCACGUUUAUUGGGCCUAAAGCGUCCGCAGCUGGUCCGAUAAGUCCUUGAUCAAAUCCUUUGUUGACCAAAGGCUCAUCAGGGAAACUGUCGGACUAGGAACCGGGAAAGGUAGAGGGUACUCCAGGGGUAGGGGUAAAAUCCUAUAAUCCUUGGGGGACCACCUGUGGCGAAGGCGCUCUACUGGAACGGCUUCGACAGUGAGGGACGAAAGCGUGGGGAGCGACCCGGAUUAGAUACCCGGUUAGUCCACGCCGUAAACGAUGCCCGCUUGAUGUGUCACUCCUUUCGGGGGA
rnacentral:rRNA from 1 species